rnacentral:lncRNA from 1 species
GGUGUAUACAGGAGACAGAGGACCCGCUGAAGACACAGGCCAGCUAGCAGCAGCCUCAGGAUGCACAGUUGUCUGACUGCCCAGCUUGCUGUACGCAAAUCCACUUGUCACCCUGCUCCAGGCCUCGGCAGGGACAAAGCCACCUGCCUUCCCACUUCACUCUCUGGCCCAGCCGUGCACCACUCUACCUCUACCUGGACAGCCCCCAGCUGCCAGAAGAGUUCUUUCUCACUGCUCACCUGUGGUCAUCGAACUUGUCACCAGUGCUGCCACUGUCUUUCAGAGAAAGAGUUGACUAAGGUGGUGGGGGAUGGCUCACCCAAGCAAGGAGCAGGUGAGCGAAAAGAUUGUCAUUUCCUGGGCUGUGCCCACAAUAAACACGUGCUCUGUCUCAUUCUCCCAGCAGCCUUAUGAGGGGGGGAUUCCCAUUUCCAAGGGAAAACACUGAGGUCCAAAUGCGUCAAGUAGCUUGUCCAAAGUUUGGGGUUUUUUUGUUUUUGUUUUGUUUUGGUACCGGGGAUCGAACUCAGGUCCUUGCGCUUGCGCAGCAGGCGAUGAAACCACUGAGCUAAAUCCCCAGCCCCAGCUCAUCCAAAGUUAAUAGCAGAAGCCAGGUGUGGUGACACAAGUCUGUAAUCCUAGCAUUCGGGAGGAGGAUCACUGCAA